GGGGACGUCCUAGCCAUGGAUUCAGAGCAGAUGGCAAGGAAGAAGAAGAAGAAGGUGGGGAAGACAACAAUGGCCCUUGGAAGGAAAAGAAAGAACUGCAAACAAAGGGUGGAGCGGGAGAGUACCUGGAACAAGGACUCACGCGGGCAGAAUUUCGACUGUAAAAUGAGAAGGGUAAAAAACCAAGUGGGGAUAACUCUGUAUAUAUAGUCCCCCCCAACGGUCG
rnacentral:lncRNA from 1 species